CUGAAACAGAAAACAAAUUAUAUUUCUUCAAAUUGUUCUUUGGACCAAUAACAUACUGUGACAAGGCAAGAUUUUCUAACGGGAAGUCCACAGAUGUCUGUAAUUUUUGUUUCCACCUGCCAUUGUACGAAAAAUGUUUCAGAUGCACUAAAAGCACAGGUGGUAACUUCC
rnacentral:antisense_RNA from 1 species